CACUAUCAUUUGACGUUAGCGACAGAAGAAGCACCGGCUAACUCCGUGCCAGCAGCCGCGGUAAUACGGAGGGUGCGAGCGUUAAUCGGAAUUACUGGGCGUAAAGCGCAUGCAGGUGGUUUGUUAAGUCAGAUGUGAAAGCCCGGGGCUCAACCUCGGAACUGCAUUUGAAACUGGCAGACUAGAGUACUGUAGAGGGGGGUAGAAUUUCAGGUGUAGCGGUGAAAUGCGUAGAGAUCUGAAGGAAUACCGGUGGCGAAGGCGGCCCCCUGGACAGAUACUGACACUCAGAUGCGAAAGCGUGGGGAGCAAACAGGAUUAGAUACCCUGGUAGUCCACGCUGUAAACGAUGUCUACUUGGAGGUUGUGGCCUUGAGCCGUGGCUUUCGGAGCUAACGCGUUAAGUAGACCGCCUGGGGAGUACGGUCGCAAGAUUAAAACUCAAAUGAAUUGACGGGGGCCCGCACAAGCGGUGGAGCAUGUGGUUUAAUUCGAUGCAACGCGAAGAACCUUACCUACUCUUGACAUCCAGAGAAUCUAGCGGAGACGCUGGAGUGCCUUCGGGAACUCUGAGACAGGUGCUGCAUGGCUGUCGUCAGCUCGUGUUGUGAAAUGUUGGGUUAAGUCCCGCAACGAGCGCAACCCUUAUCCUUGUUUGCCAGCGAGUAAUGUCGGGAACUCCAGGGAGACUGCCGGUGAUAAACCGGAGGAAGGUGGGGACGACGUCAAGUCAUCAUGGCCCUUACGAGUAGGGCUACACACGUGCUACAAUGGCGCAUACAGAGGGCGGCCAACUUGCGAAAGUGAGCGAAUCCCAAAAAGUGCGUCGUAGUCCGGAUUGGAGUCUGCAACUCGACUCCAUGAAGUCGGAAUCGCUAGUAAUCGUGGAUCAGAAUGCCACGGUGAAUACGUUCCCGGGCCUUGUACACACCGCCCGUCACACCAUGGGAGUGGGCUGCAAAAGAAGUGGGUAGUUUAACCUUCGGGAGGACGCUCACCACUUUGUGGUUCAUGACUGGGGUGAAGUCGUAACAAGGUAGCGCUAGGGGAACCUGGCGCUGGAUCACCUCCUUAUACGAUGAU
rnacentral:rRNA from 1 species